rnacentral:rRNA from 1 species
GACGAACGCUGGCGGCGUGCCUAAUACAUGCAAGUCGAACGCAUUUUCUUUCACCGUAGCUUGCUACACCGAAAGAAAAUGAGUGGCGAACGGGUGAGUAACACGUGGGUAACCUGCCCAUCAGCGGGGGAUAACACUUGGAAACAGGUGCUAAUACCGCAUAAUUCCAUUUACUGCAUGGUAGUUGGAUGAAAGGCGCUUUUGCGUCACUUAUGGAUGGACCCGCGGUGCAUUAGCUAGUUGGUGGGGUAACGGCCUACCAAGGCUGCGAUGCAUAGCCGACCUGAGAGGGUGAUCGGCCACACUGGGACUGAGACACGGCCCAGACUCCUACGGGAGGCAGCAGUAGGGAAUCUUCGGCAAUGGACGCAAGUCUGACCGAGCAACGCCGCGUGAGUGAAGAAGGUUUUCGGAUCGUAAAACUCUGUUGUUAGAAAAGAACAAGGAUGAGAGUGGAAAGUUCAUCCCUUGACGGUAUCUAACCAGAAAGCCACGGCUAACUACGU